AGAGGAAGUUGAGAUGCCUGUUCUGCAGCUGCUGCGCGUCCCACCGACCCGCUGCUCGCCGUCCCUGGGCCGUGCUGGCCCUCCGCCCUCGGCCCAGACCCGGACCGGGCCAUGCUCCACACCAAUGGGACCAGUCGGGAGGGCCACGUGGGGAUGUGGAGGCAUUGGGGAGAUCUGACCCAGACCUGCCCCCCAUGACAGUUUCAAGAGCACCCCACGUACUUGACCCCCGCUGGGCAGAAGCUACCAAAGGAGACCCCGCGAGGGUCAAGGGAGGGUGUCGUCAGGCCCGCGCUGAGCCCUGCAGGAUGCUCAGGGCCAGGGCCCCACCCUCUACUGGCCCUUCUCCCUCAGAGUUGUCCAUUGACUGGACAAACCAUCCCCAAUGCUGACUCUUUGACCUAUAGUCAGCUAACUCCCCGGGACCUGCUUCGGAUCCCUGGAGGGCUGAGGAUUGAAUUCAGGAGCCUAGGGAUUCUCCGGGUCCUGCAGGCAGAGCUCCAACUGGUGGGUGAAAGUUACAAGGAGGCAGGUUUCUGAAGGAAGCCCUGUGUAAUAAUCAGAGCUGCCCAGCCUGUAUCUAAAAGUGGUCAAGAUGCGGGCUGAAGCGUCACGGGUCAGGAAUGCUGCACAGGAGAGUCUACGGACAGGCUAGAUGACCCUUAGCAUGGAGGGAGAGGACCCCCGACAUCUGUCAGCUCUGCAGUGCUCGUGGUUCCGUCAUGGUGGAGCUGCCGAGUGACCCGCUGGCCUCCCUGAGCUGGGCUUGACCAUAUGUACGAAGGAAAGAAAAGGCAUCCCAUGGAUGUCUCCUAGUUCCCUCACUGUGGCCCAGUGUUGUAUAUCAACGUCAUCAUGGAUACACCUCCUGUGGGAGGUGAUUAGGCCAUGAGGGUGGAGCCCUCGUGAAUGGAAUUGGUGCCCUUAUAGAAGGGACCCUGGACCCUGGACCUCCACUCUGCAAGGAUACAGUGAGAAGGCAGAACCCAGCCUCAGGUACACUCAUCUCAGACUUGCAGCCUCCUGAACUGUGAGAAAUAAAUGUUUGUUGUCUGUGGUA